GUGUGCAAGCACAUUCUGUAUAACCUGUCCAAAGAACUGGUGCCUUUGAGGCAGUGCUCCUUAUAGAAUCACAGAAUUGCAGAGUUGGAAGGGAUCACGUGGGUCAUGUAGUCCAACCCCCUGCAAUGCAGGAAUCUUUUGCUCAUGUGGGGUUCAAACCCAUGACCCUGAUACUAAGUGUCUCACGCCCUACUGACUGAACUAUGUAUCAGAAGCUAUGCUUACCUAAAGGAUGCAACAAGCAGAGCAACAUCGGUACAAUAAGAAGCUCUUAAGGGGGACGGUGGUUUUAUAGAUGGAUAGAUCCAGUGCAAGUUCUACUUACAUGAAACCAUACACAGACGGAAUAAAAUCCCAAGAGUUGAGGAGGAAGAAUGAGAGACAAAUAAUCACCACCAGGCUUCCCAAAUACAGAGCUGCAUACUGCAUGGUGUAAAGCCAGAAGCCUUUGCUUUUCAUUUUCACUGGUAUGAACUGACGCUAUUGGGGAACAAACAACAUCGCAAAGGCUGUGUAUAUACAUGAACAAUUCAAGAUUCCAACCGCAUCUGACUCCCUCAAGGACUCAGAUCAACAUUCAGAAAGAGAGAAGCCGGAU